ACAGACACAGACAAUCUUACUGAUGCACACAAAUAGGCUCAUUGACAGACAAUCUCAAUGACACACACAGACAAGGUUACUGGCACACACACACAUUUAGUACAGACAAACUCUGAUACACACACAAGCUUACUACAGACAAGCUCACUGUCACACACACACGCUCACUACAGACAAGCUCACUGAUGCACACACACUCUCCCUACAGACAAG